rnacentral:rRNA from 1 species
GACGAACGCUGGCGGCGUGCCUAAUACAUGCAAGUCGAGCGGACCAAAGGGAGCUUGCUCCUGGAGGUUAGCGGCGAACGGGUGAGUAACACGUGGGCAACCUGCCUGUAAGACUGGGAUAACAUCGAGAAAUCGGUGCUAAUACCGGAUAAUAAAAAGAACUGCAUGGUUCUUUUUGAAAGAUGGUUUCGGCUAUCACUUACAGAUGGGCCGCGGCGCAUUAGCUAGUUGGUGAGGUAACGGCUCACCAAGGCGACGAUGCGUAGCCGACCUGAGAGGGUGAUCGGCCACACUGGGACUGAGACACGGCCCAGACUCCUACGGGAGGCAGCAGUAGGGAAUCUUCCGCAAUGGACGAAAGUCUGACGGAGCAACGCCGCGUGAGUGAUGAAGGUUUUCGGAUCGUAAAACUCUGUUGUUAGGGAAGAACAAGUGCCGUUCGAAAGGGCGGCACCUUGACGGUACCUAACGAGAAAGCCACGGCUAACUACGUGCCAGCAGCCGCGGUAAAG